CGAACGCUGGCGGCGUGCCUAACACAUGCAAGUCGAACGGAGAAUUUUAUUUCGGUAGAAUUCUUAGUGGCGAACGGGUGAGUAACGCGUAGGCAACCUGCCCUUUAGACGGGGACAACAUUCCGAAAGGAGUGCUAAUACCGGAUGUGAUCAUCGUGCCGCAUGGCAGGAUGAAGAAAGAUGGCCUCUACAAGUAAGCUAUCGCUAAAGGAUGGGCCUGCGUCUGAUUAGCUAGUUGGUAGUGUAACGGACUACCAAGGCGAUGAUCAGUAGCCGGUCUGAGAGGAUGAACGGCCACAUUGGGACUGAGACACGGCCCAAACUCCUACGGGAGGCAGCAGUGGGGAAUCUUCCGCAAUGGACGAAAGUCUGACGGAGCAACGCCGCGUGAGUGAUGAAGGAUUUCGGUCUGUAAAGCUCUGUUGUUUAUGACGAACGUGCAGUGUGUGAACAAUGCAUUGCAAUGACGGUAGUAAACGAGGAAGCCACGGCUAACUACGUGCCAGCAGCCGCGGUAAUACGUAGGUGGCGAGCGUUGUCCGGAAUUAUUGGGCGUAAAGAGCAUGUAGGCGGCUUAAUAAGUCGAGCGUGAAAAUGCGGGGCUCAACCCCGUAUGGCGCUGGAAACUGUUAGGCUUGAGUGCAGGAGAGGAAAGGGGAAUUCCCAGUGUAGCGGUGAAAUGCGUAGAUAUUGGGAGGAACACCAGUGGCGAAGGCGCCUUUCUGGACUGUGUCUGACGCUGAGAUGCGAAAGCCAGGGUAGCGAACGGGAUUAGAUACCCCGGUAGUCCUGGCCGUAAACGA
rnacentral:rRNA from 1 species